CCCCUACACCUUUGGACCUUUUCGUAUUUCAAAUUAUCAGUUAUUUAUUUUAAUCAUUUUCAUCCUUAUUUACACUUUCAGUUUCUCACACUAGAGAAACUAUUCGGUAUUUACACGUGUGUCCUGUUGGGUUGCGGUUUUUAACAGUUCUUUGGGUAUGUUGCUUGUAUUUAGAUACUUAGCCAAAACAAAACUUGUACUUUAUUAUUAUCUAGUUUUAUAGAUGAAAUUUUAAAAAGAGGCUUGGAAGAGGUUCUGUAAUUUGCUUAGGGGAAACCAGAAUAAAUGGUAAAAUCAGCUUUCAGUCUCAGGUCCUUCUGACCCUAGAUCUGUUCUGUAUCACUGUGCCACACAGCCCCUUAGUGUCAUCCCAACACAGAAGUUUGAAGGUGAGACUUGAGCUGGGUGAAUUUACCUGGUCAUGGCCUAGCCUUAACUUUUCAGGCUUAGAUAACUUGUCAUCUAAACACGAUAGUGCAUUCAUCUCUCAUAGCCAAACUCUCCUUAACCACGCUCAUGAGACUGACAUGUAACAUCAUAAUGUCCACUUAGUAAUUCACCACAGGAAAUAGUCCUGUCAUUUAGAAUAUCUCAUGACUGGUGCAUUCUUUCCCUCUAGGGAGAUCUGUGAAGCCAACAACCAGAAGGGAACUUAGCGAAGAUGGAUGAAGAAUGAGGGAAGGAGGAGGGACCUAGGCUACAAGAGUAGUUCCCCAAUAAAUACUGACUGAACAUGUGGAUGAUUGUCACAGCAUAAGAAUCAUCUACCCUGUGCACAUCUUCAGGUUCCCUCUAUCUAUUUCUACUAAGGCCUUGCUACAGGGAUCUGAUACUUGAGUCCAUUUGUUAUGGUUUCCCUGGACAGGUUUUAGGAACUCCCCACCUUGGCCCUCUGACUCAUGGCUUUGUGUGUUUUGUUGUUGAACAAACUUCCUCUCACUAAAACACUGAAGCUAAUAUUAAUGCAGUCAGACCAGGUUACGAUAGAAACUAUCUGGCUUGAGAGUCAUUGUAUCUGGCAGAUGAUUCUGCCUAUUACAUGUUGAUUUUGAAGUUUAAUUCUGGGAAGACACUUUCUAAAUCCUAGGAGACACGUCAGUGUAGCUCCCAAGUUCUGAGUACAUCUAUCAGCUAUGGUUAUGUGAUCCCCAGCACGCAGCAAAUUAAAACUAGGAAGAGGUUGCUGAAGGCAAAUAACUCCGACAACAGUAGAAUAGAAGCUAACAGCCUUAAAGUUACACUAGUAGAAAACUGUAAGAGAUAAUGGAACUCCAACAAACAGCCCAUGGGGGCCAGUUAGCAUAGAGAGGGAGUCCCAUACUUUAGCCCACCCGAUUUAGAAGAAUUACAGUUAUUCCUUUCUAUUGAGCCCCUACUCUUUGUUAGUUACUAUGCUAAACUCUUUUUAGAAAUAUUUUUUUAAAAUUCUAAAAAUGAUCUUUUGAUUUAGGUAUCAAUCUUUGCUUUGAAAGAAGUAUGUUAGUCUUAAAAGGAGUAAGGUAUCCAAGCUCUCACACAAAGUAAAGUAGAAGAGUCAAUGGUAGCCAGUAGGAGAUGGAUUUUUCUCAGAUAGGAAGAUGAUCAAGAUAUGGAGGGAAGGAGGAGAGGGAAAGGGGAUGGAAAAAGGAUUUGAGAUGUGUUAUGUACAUGUACCAAUUUCACACAAGGAAGGUAAAUAUUAUGUACUGUAAACACGUAUUAAUAAAAAAAGUGGAAGAGUCAGUGAGAUAAAUUAGAUGUAUUCCAUUCUUAAGCGUGUGCUGUUAAUUGCCAUGCUAUUGCCCUGUCAGUACAAUACUAGAGGUGUGAUUUGGUGACUGUCUAGGAACUCCAAGAGCACAGACAUUUAAAAACCAUUCCCACUUGAAAGAUUAAAAAUGACAGAGACGUAAAGAAAUAUACUUAGAUUUCAUUGUGAAGUCACAAGUGGAACACUUGCUGAUGGUAGGGCAAUGAAGCCUUUUCUUUUUUUCAAUUGGGAAAUGUUUUUGUAAAGAAUUGCUUAAUUAGGAGCACAGAGGUUUCUUUUGCUUUGCAACAAGUAAAAUUUUAUCAAAAUCCUUUCCAUCUUGAGAAAAGAUUUUCAGUGCAUGUUUAUUUACCUUUUGCACAGUGAGCCAUGCCAUGGCAACAUGUUCUAUUAGGGCAAUAUAGGACUAGUACAAGACCAUUGGGGUCCCAGUAAAAGGAGGUAGCUGCCAUUCUUUUUAGCAGCCCCACUGGCUUGAUGCUAGUGCCCCAUUCAUUUUUUAAAAGAAGAUUGUGGGUAGGAUAAUGUGAUCUUGCAAUGAUUUACAGAACAAUGAUGUUAUGCUUUUAAAAAUACUAAUAAUUAUAAUGUUGCAAUCCUAUUUAAUGCCAAAAUGACAACUGGUAGUGUUUGGGAAUAUUUGUAUGAAAACAAUGACAUUUCAUAGUUAAAACUUGGCAUCAGCAAACUUUGAGGAACAAAAAGACUUGGAUUUAAAUGUAAAUCAGCCUUUUAUGAAGUUUACCCUUUGGUUGUACACCAAUCCGUAAAGCUUUCAGUAUUGAUCUAAGAGUUGUCAUCAUGAAGAUUUAUUUUUCAAUCUCUUUCUAACAGAGGCAGAACCUAUUCCCAGGGCCUGACCCAGACCUAGCUGGUGCUGAACUGUCUGGGUGUGUGUGUGCACACAUGUUGUAUGGAAUUCUUCACAGGCACUAAAUAACACAGAAUACCAAGCCCUUGACUUCAUAAGUACACUUUAUUUUAGACCCCAAACUAGUUGACUGCUCCCAAGAAUUAGUACACCUUCAAGGGAAGAUAUUUUAGUCUCAUUGAGGAGAUUCAAGAGAAUGUGUUUAAGAUCCUGAAUAGAAUGCUCCCCAAAAGUGGUCUAAAAUACUUUGAGCAAUGGCAACCCUGCUGCAAUAAGUAAUAACAGCAAAUACAUAAUUACUACACACCAGGCACUCUCCUUAGGGCUUCUUGUGUAUUAAUUCACUAAAUCUUCACAGUAAUCCUUUAAAGAAGGUAUUAUUAUGGUCGUAUUAUGGCUAAGGAACUGAAACAAGGGUAUAUAUACUAGGAAUUUAUUUUAACUUGGUUGUUUACCUUUCUAAAUAAUGUUCUUUGGAGAGUUAUGAAAGGAAUUUGUACCCAUUAUGAAACUUGGAAAAUAUAAAACCGUCAAGAAGAAAGUGAGAUUUUCUGUGCACAUCUAAUGUGUGUCUUUUUAUCCCUUUGUUCUGUGGGAACAAUUGCAUCUUUUUAGGGUUCUGUUGUGAAUAAGACUAAGUCCACGUGCAGGAUUGAGGGGGGCAAGCCUCUGCCACUUCUCUUAGGUCCUGGUUCCAGCUAAAAAGAUAAAUCUGAAUUCGUAUGUCAGAAGCAAAGUGAUAUUUUUCCCUCCAUCCCUAUAAGUACGGUUGGUACAGACUUUGAAGAGCAGUGGAGUCCACAGAUUGUCACCAUACUGCCAGCUGCAUCUUCUCCGAUUGCUGCAGUCCAGUCCUUUGAGCCACUGUCUGCACUAACAGAGUUCUUAGGGGGAUUCAUUUGGAUCUUCUUAUCUUUGGUUCACUAAAUUUGCAUUUUGCUUCUCAGAUGAUGGGGAGAACCUCUAUCAAUACAUCCCAGGAAGUAGAGAACAGAAGUAGACAUAAGAGAGCACAUAUGUAGAAGGUAAUGGAAGUGGAUUUAAAAACCUCAGCAAAAUGUACAAAGCAUGGGAUCUGCCUUUGGGUCUACUCACAGUCUGCAGUCUGCAUGGAACUUACAAUUCCAGCCACUGUGUCCAAGGUCCAGGCAUCAAGAAGGAGGGGGCAAAGGGAAAGGAGAACCUUUACAGGUGUGUUGGCUCCUUUUGAAGAGUUUUCCCAUAAUCGCCAUCUGACAACUUCUGAUUAUGUUUCAUUGACCACCUGCUUCUGCGAGGAGUCUGGGAAGUGUAGUUCAUUUAGUCUGACUUAAUGCCACUUCCAUCCCUGGAAGGAAGAAGGACAGAAUACAUAUCAUCCAGGCAACUGGUGAUCUCUGCAUGCAGAAUCUCGUAGCUAAAAGCAAGUCAAAUGAGAAGUUAGGAAGCAAGACAGCUUAUAUGGAGGGCCAGUUGGCUAGGUCCAUACCUAAAGGAGGUAUAAGGGAGGCAGUAUAGGCUGAGUUGUCAGCCUGGCUCUGUGCUUUUUGGCUGUGUGACAAUCUCCUGAAUAGCUCAAUGCCUUAGUCCUCUUUGUCCCUAAAAUGGAAUUAUGUUGAAGCUGACCCCACAGGGGAGUUUGAAGGUCUACAGGAAAUAGGAUGUGCAGUGCCUUAAAACUAGAAGGUGCUUUAUGAAUGUAUCUUCCAUAGGUGCUCAGCAAUAGGAGGUGUCCAGGCAAUGAUCGCUUCAGAACUCUCUCAUAAGGACUUCACUGAUCAACACUCACCAUUAUUUCUGCCACUCAUUUAUUAUUCAGUCUUACAUUGGUCCUCAACACUUUUGUCUAGGAAAACUCCCCAUUGAGGUUGCAAGGAAACACCUUGAGCAAAGACGAAAGAUGGAUUUUUGCAAAACCGCAAGGGGCAUGCCAUCUUCCAAUAACUUGGCACAGCUAGCAUUGCCCUUCAGAGAGACAAGGGACAGGAACAGAGCUAGGUGAGGGACAAUUCUGACAUCCCCAGCAUACAAGGCCAAGGCUGUUGGGGGAAAGCUGUCAGCCAGGACAAGAAGGGCAGAGAGAGGACGGGCCAGAAGGGUGAUGAGUUCUAUUCUAGACAUGAGAACAGAACAUGCGAUCUUGAGACACUAGCAGAGGCAACCAGUGACAGCUGACUCCUUUCAUAUAGUAAACUUUGACCAAAUGAUUGUGUACUAGGCACACUCCAGGUGCUCGAGAUUGAACACAGGAAACACAGCCCCUUGUCUUCAGGGAGCUUAGUAGUGAGCCCAGGGUGACACUGUAAGGAAGAGAGGGGCUAAGUGACAUAUGUGGAGUUCAGAGACAGCGAGGUUGGACGUGUGAAGAAUUCUAUAGAGAAUAGUGACAGGAGGAUGGGUGGAGAGAAAAGUCUGGAGAGAGAUGUCAGGAGAUAAGAGAUCUCAAAGAAGCACCUGUAUUUCAGGACCCUUCCAAAGUUGAGCCUGAGGCAGGCUGUGUGGAAGAGGCCAGAGAGAUACGUGUCCAGCAGUGUUCAGGGGCUGUGUCAUUUAUGUGAAGUACCACCGGCAGCUCAAGGCUGAGGACUGGGAGGCUUCCUCCUGAACUAGAUGGAUGUGGCCCAGCCUUGCAUAAUUACUGGCAGAUACAGUACUUGCUGCUCUAAAAUGUUUGCAUGGCUGCUGGUCCAAGUGUGGAAAAGAAAAGCCAGAUUGUCUCUGUCAGUUGUGGCUGCUAUGACAAAACAUUGCAGACUGGGAGAGAUGGAGCGGUUUCUCUCUGAACAACAGAAACUUACUACUCACAGUUCUGGAAACCCAAGAUCAAGGCAGAUUUGGUGUCUGGCAAGGGCCUCAUCUUGGUUCAGAGACAUCUCGCUGGGUCCUCACAAGGAAAAAAGGGUGAGGCAGUUCUCUGGGGCUCCUUUUACAAGGACAAAAAUCCCAUUCAUGAGGCUCUGCCCUCAUUGUCUAAUUGCCUUCCAAAGGCCCCACUUUCCAAUACUAUCACCUUGGGGUUAGAUUCCAAUGUAUAAAUUGGGGGAGUGGGUUCAGUCUUGAGCAGAAAGGGGAAUCUAACUGAUAGUAGGUUCCUGAUUGAGAGAGGAGAAUGAGAAGACAGGUCACGCCCUCCACCACCACUCCACCAUGCAGAGGGGAUGAGAGGCAGGUUGUGGUCCUUGGUCAGGGCAGGUUAGGGGGGGCAGCUGGCUCCCACCACUGUCUCUUUCCUGAGGCAGUGGUCACCCUCUUUCACUCAACUUUCACUCAGCCAUCAUGUCCCUAGCUCCAUACUAAUCUCUGGGGAUGGAGGUAUAGGAGUACACCACACCCCAAACCCAGGCUGGAGGGAACCAGCCUGAUCAUUCCUCAUGGCCCAGGUCAGAUACCAGUCCACCCUGAAGCCUUACUUGACUCCCCCAAAGUUCACAAGUUUUCCACCCCACUUUAUGCUUCCAAAGCAUAGAUAAGGUGGAGACAGCAGUAGUGCUUUGGGAACACAAAGCGGGGUGAAAAACUUCUGAACUUGGGGAAAUUGGUAAGGAGGCUUCAGGGCAGACAGGCAUUUGACCUGGCCCAUGAGGAAUGAGUAGGAGUUUGCCUAAAGAAUGGGGUAAAGGCAGGUGUGUGAUGACAUGUGUGGUGUGUGUGUGUGUGUGUUUUCCUUCUCCUUCCCCAGUGUUUUUGGGAUGCAAAGAUCAUCACGAUGGCUGAGAAUCCAAGGUCCUAGGGCUUUGUAUCUGGCUUGUGUUAUCCACUCCUUCAUUUUACACCAGAAGAAACAGAGACAGGUCUGGAUGACAUGGCAUGCUGACAUGUGGUAGAGUGAAGAGUAUUGUAGCCACUAGUUGCUUUCUCAGAGUCCUCUAGAAAGGCAGAUCUGGGCUCUGAGGACCUUUGUCUUCUCAUUUCAACUCCAUUGGUUCUGACCUCUGCAUUCUGCUGUGUCUCACGGUCAGGGUGUUGAUGAGGUUUUUAGGAAAUGUAGAUGGGGUCUGAGAGGAGUAAAUACAAAUGUACCAUGUUAUAUGCCACAGAUGCAUUCUGGAAAUUUGCAUGUCAGCCUGCCUUUUUUUUUUUUUUUUUUCAAAUUCAAUAGAAUCCUAAAGAAAUUAGGAGGAGUUGUCCUUUAAUGGAGUUCAAACUUGCCUCCUUUUAACAAGAGAAGGGUCCUUUUGUAAUGCAAAUGAUGUCACUAUUCUGUGAGCUGAGAUUCUGUCUUGGCUUUCUUUAAAUGAGACACACCUCUAGAGAGCAAAAUAUGGGCCUUGCUUGCAGUAUUUUAAAUGCAGGCUAGCGUCCACCCUCUGCCUUUGUUGUAAUGCUUACUUUGGUGGUCUUUGUUUAUAUCAGGUAUUAUUUUGGCCACUGGAGGGCCCUCCAGAUAAAGAAUGGUUGGAGAAUCCCAAAUGUGUUCCCUGAGCCCAGACUUCGGCUCACACCCUGAUUUUUGAGCAUGCAGCAUUUCUUGCAAAUCGGAUUUAACUGGGUAGACUAGCAGUAGCAUUGAUGUUUCUUUUAUUUAGGAAUUUAAGCAUAAAAGGAACCCCUAUUUAAAAGAGCAGCUUUUGGAUUAUAGUCUAUUUGGAGCUGGAAAGGAGGCACUAAUCUUGUAUGUGGAGAGUGAUCUUGCAGAAUUCAGUACAGCUUAGAGAAGCGGGGCUUUGAACAAAGGUUAUUUCUCUGUGUGAAGAGAAUCACACCAAGAUGUAUGGAAUGAAACAGACCAAUUGAAGUUAUUUCUCUAAUGAAGCAAAGAGUCUUGGCAGGAACUGGAAAAACAGUUUAGGAGGUUGGUAUCCACACCUAGGAAAACACAAAAUCACCACCGUUCAUUUUUGUGUCACCUUUUUUUCUGCCCCAUUGUUAGAGACUAGUGCAGGGAUUUUAUUUUGCUGAAUGUAAAUAAAAUUCUGAGCUCAUAGAUGUCAAUGCAGCAUGAAAAGUUUCAUAGCUAGUUCUCAAUGGAUUCAAACAGACUUGUCGCAAAACCAGAUAGAAAUAAAGAGUCAAGAAGAGUCCAGAAAAGAAAUAUGGGUCAGUGACUACGUUUCCUUAGUUUAUAAGACAAAGGAAAUCCACCAGAAUUGCUCCACAAGAGACCAAUACCAAGCCAUACCUAAAAUGAAGUCUCAUGUUCUAAUCUUUUAAGACCUGAAAUAAAAAGUAAGGUUGGUCAUAAUGGUUUGCAUCAGUCCCUUUGAACUAGUGAUUUUUUUUUCAAUAAGAGAGCAAAGGGCUGCCAGUGACAGAUGGGCCAGCAAGCAACUUUGAGGAUUAGUUUGGGCCCUAACAAUUUAAAAACACAGGUCCUGCAGACACAGAUGUGGUCAUCAGGGAUACAGUUAAUGGCCAGACCUGUGAAGAUCUGUGAAGAUCUGUGGUUCUCACAGUGUUUGCCCAGCUGUCCAAUGAAAGGGCAUCAUUUCCUGACUCAUCCCUGAGAUGGUAGACAGGCUCCCAGACCCAUGCAAAAGGUGGUUCUUUUUGUAUUUAUUUGGGGGUGAAAUGAAGAAUGGUAAGGAUUGGGUGCCAAUACAGAGCCUCAGUUUCCUUUUUGAACUUGAAAGUUCAUAGACAAGGGGCUCCAACUGAGGAGACAGAUGGACUUCUGUCUCAAUUAGCAGUAUUUGCUCUUCUGGAAAGCUCACAAGUGGGCAGCAGAGAACUGCGGGUGCAUUUAGCAGCUGAGAGUAAAUUGAGGCAAUGGUUCUUAUUGAGGUCGGCAAGCCAGGGUCUUUACAUCUGUUUGAAGAUCUUUCUCCUUUUGAUUAACCCCUCACCAUUGGUGGAAAGUACUGUUUAUGUGGUUCUACCUCAAAUUUUACACCUGCUUUGGUCCCCACCCAACUCUGUGAGUGACAGGAUGUAGAUGAUGUCCCCCUGCCAGAGAGUCUCCAGAAACUGCAGGGAAGGGCUCAUCUUGAAGGCUGGGGGACUGGAGGUCAGGGCUGAAGCAGGCUGAGAGGUACCCAGGGAAGGGAUGUGCUAUCCGCUGAUGACUUGGAGCAGCAAGCUUUGUCUCACAUUGCCCCCAAACACCGAGAAAAGGUGGAUCCAGGAUCUGUAAUCCUCUCCUUGCUUCUGAACUCAGAGCUGUCAUUGUCUCCAACACCGCCUUGACACUAAACAUACAUUUUCUUCUGACAUUAUUUGUAUUGUUUUUUAAAUUGUAUGACAAAUAGUUGUGUUGAGUGAGUGCCGGGCACCUUGCAGGCAGGCAGUAAAUAUUUGCUGAACGUUGAAAGAAGGCUGCGGCUGGGCUGUCGGUAUGGCUCCUAUUCAGACCCUGCGGCAGCUCUGGGUUCUGGAGGCUCGGGGAUUCCGCGUUAAAGGGCUGGUAGAGGGCUGUCUGACCAGAACGGGCUCUGCGAAUACUAGAACAUUCACAGACCUGCAGAGUAAAGGCCACCAUAGCAAGAAAGGUGGCCGGUUGGGGGACGUCCAGGGGGGCUUUCCUAAAAACGCGGUUUCUUUGUUCUGGUAGAUUUCAGCCCGAAGGAAAAGCAAAAUUUUACUGUCUGCAAACCACCAGCGAGCUCCUCCUGUACCCCUUUACCUCUUUCCUUUCCACCCUGGGAAUUUGCUGCUUCUCUCUCCUCCUCCUCUGCCCCAGUGCAGUCCUCAGAGACAAAGGUCUUUGUUGUGAACACUCCAAGACAAUAUAGAAUUGCACAAUACCCAGGGCACAAUCAGAGCUGUCCUCCAAGGAGAGCUAUUGUCGGACAGAGACCCCCCCCCCCCCCACCUGUUGAUCGCCCACUUCCUGGGGUGAGCAGCAACCUGCAUUGUUGCUCAGGAUGCACGCGUUUCUGCACCAGGCUCGGCAGAUGGCGCUCGUGAGCAGAGCCAUUCCCAUCCCUCCCCCGCCUCUCCCCUCAGCCAGCCAGCGCCUUGCUGCUCUAAAGCAAAAACAGAUGUUUUCAUCAUCUCUGGAUCUGGCAUGUGACUUGCAGUUCAGCAAUAUGCCGACAUAACCCAGAGUUGUGCGUUCCCUUCAUCCCCAGCAAAAUAAAAAUUCCCAGUUAAAUCAGCCUUCCUCCUAAGCGAGCCAGUGACACAUGAUCUGUUUAGUCCAAGGGAUGCAUGUUUAAUCGAGCUCCAACUGCAACUGCCCUGGUAGCCAGCCCAGGCUCUAUAAUUGGGACGUUGUCUUUUUUUCAGGAAAGACGAAGAGCAGCCAGACUAGCUAUCUUUACACCAAGAGCUGGAAGAGGCGCUAGCCUUUUAAAAUAGCCCUGGUCUGGCUGGCGGGCGAACCUGUCUGCUGGGAGCUGCGGGGUCGCGCACGGAACACGAAGGCCGGGGCGGCGCGCCCUGUUCCCCGCGCUCCCGGCAGGUGGCAGCAUCGGCCCGAGCCGGUCUCUGCCUCUGGCCAGCCCAAAGCAGGGCCCUUUUACUUUCGGAGGCCUCAAAAUUAUUAGUUCCAGAUGAGUUCUUGCAAUUGUAAUAUUUGAUUUAACCCAAUCUGCCCGAUUGCGUCAGCGCACGCUCAAAUACAGCCGUCUGAAGUCUAACCAGAAAUGAGAGGCAUGUUCCGGGGGGUGUCAACAUUCUUUACCCUUUGAAAGAAUUAAAACAAAACCAAAACGGAGGUUGAUUUAUCCCCAAACGAAAGAAGGGCGAGCAGGCAUGGGACUAGGGUGCCCUGAGAGCAGGGGAACACUGGAAGUUCAGGGAGGGUGUAACAAUAGAACUUUGUAGGCUGAAGCCUGCAAGAGUGGAGCUGGAUUUAUUUGUUGAACUAGGACGGGACCUCUGGGCUGUUUGAAGGUUUGAGCAAAUAAGCAAAACUGGUGGGCAUUUGGUUUACUAAGAGAAGAGCCUUCAAGUCACGUAGAGCAUGCUGUGUCUGGGCCAGGCCUCUGCUUAACACUUGGCCUGGCUGCUCCAGAAGGAGUAGGGAAGAAGGGACACUCUUCUCUUGUAGCACGGAGCAUUUUGGGGCCCCCUAUCUCCAUGUUAAGAAUGCAGACUGGGUUUCUGGAGAACACAAGCUCAGGCCCCAGAAGACCUCUUGAGAAGAGGAGGCCUCCUGCAAGGGCUCUGGCGAGUGGACCCGCUGGGAUCAUCAAGCGUUUUGUAAACAGCCACGCUGCGGUGUCACCUCCACACCCGGUUCUUGACAUAGGGUUGUGGGGAGCAGUGGGCCCUUGGUGGGGAUCCCUUCCUGUGGACUCGAUGUUACAGAUGUGUUAGCUUAGGCUAAAAGACUCUCAGAGCCCUGGAGCAGAGCAACCCAAUCUGCAAAGGCAGCCCAGAAAUCUUGCUCCAGCCUCCAGACAAGCAAGAUAGGGUGCCUGACUUCCCUUUGCUGAGCAGUAACAGGGCCUUGUCAUGCCUUUAUCCCUCCCCUGUCUGCACCCCACUUUUCAGUCUGUGCUCAAAUUCUUCAAGUACCUCUCUCCAGGGCUGCAAGAAAGACUGCUGCUAGCCAACCCCAGGGAGCCUGGCCGUUUCCCUGCAGGUCUCUGGCUCGACAUGGUACUGAUCAAAAGCUGACACUCGUCGGGCAGAUGCUUCAAGUCCUGGGAGCAGGAGUCUGCCAGGCAGGCAGGCUGAGUGCUAUCUUGUUCUGUCUUCCCUGUUCCAGUGGCUGCCCCAUGGUGUAUGUUAGGCAUGGGAAAGGUGGUGGGGGCCCCCACUAGAAUGUUUGGGAAUCCAGGCUUCCUGAAUCUUCCUUUCAGGCUGAAAAAUGCACGUGCCCUCACAGAUUGCUAGGAAAGUGCUGAUUACCUUGGUAGGAGCUGCCCCUUGAUUCUAGAGGAUGCUGGACUUAGGGCGGGGAUGAGGGGAAUAACCAAGUUCAGUUGAUAUGGGAGCACAAUACUGGCUGCCUGUGCCUUCAGGGAAUAGUUGAGAAACCCCAGUAUUUCCUUUCCAUUUGUACUCUUCCUUUAUUCCCUCCUGAGAAUCAGCUUUUGGACAUCUUACUGUCCAGUGAUUCUCAGUCCUGGCUACCUGAGGAUCAUCUGGAUCCCAACCCACAGCUACUUACACCACCGUAGAAAGGGAGUAGUGGAUUAAAAUCAUAAGUUUUAACACCCCUCCUCCCAGGAUGAUUGUAAUGUAUAGCCAGAAUUAAAGAAAAAAAGUCACUGCAGUGCACUUCCUUCUAAUUUGAAUUCCCUUAUUUUACGGAAGAGGUUUGUAAGAGUUAAACAUCUCAGCCAAGGUCACACAAGUUCAAGUCCAAGCCCGGAAUUUCUGUAUAAGACCUCUGGCUCCUCGGUGAUGAUUGAAGCUUUUCCUCAGUUUUCAAACUGUUAAUGACUGACACGGUCACUUAUUUUCCCUGUUUGAUGAAGUCAUCUAACAACCACUAACCUGUGUUCCUACAGUCCUGUGAGAAAUUUGGAAAGAAAAAAUGCUUUAUAGUUACCAAGGAAUUUUGUUUUGCUGCUAUAAAUAAAUGUUUAUACUCUGACAAGUUAGGAAUGAGAAUCACCCCUCACCCUGAUUUCUAUCAUUUACCACUUAUGUUUCCAAAAGGGAUUCACACCUGUAAAUGGCCAUCGUGGCACUAACUAAUAUGCAAGGAUCUGCUUUUAUGGGUGAGGUUUGUGAGGCCUAGAAAAAUUCAGUGAUACAUUGAGGCUAAAGUCCAUGGCAGAGCCAAAAUAAACAAGGAGGCAUCCUAGCACCUGGCUGGCUUUAUUUGUACUACCUUCUCCUGGAGUGGCACAAGGUGCCCUUUGCUUCUUAGUCUUUCACUCUCUGCAUGAAACAAGCACUGCAGAAAUAACUCUGUCC
rnacentral:lncRNA from 1 species